GGUCAGGUCCCUACGGGUCGCAGCAGUGGGGAAUAUUGCACAAUGGGCGCAAGCCUGAUGCAGCCAUGCCGCGUGUAUGAAGAAGGCCUUCGGGUUGUAAAGUACUUUCAGCGGGGAGGAAGGGAGUAAAGUUAAUACCUUUGCUCAUUGACGUUACCCGCAGAAGAAGCACCGGCUAACUCCGUGCCAGCAGCCGCGGUAAUACGGAGGGUGCAAGCGUUAAUCGGAAUUACUGGGCGUAAAGCGCACGCAGGCGGUUUGUUAAGUCAGAUGUGAAAUCCCCGGGCUCAACCUGGGAACUGCAUCUGAUACUGGCAAGCUUGAGUCUCGUAGAGGGGGGUAGAAUUCCAGGUGUAGCGGUGAAAUGCGUAGAGAUCUGGAGGAAUACCGGUGGCGAAGGCGGCCCCCUGGACGAAGACUGACGCUCAGGUGCGAAAGCGUGGGGAGCAAACAGGAUUAGAUACCCGGGUAGUCCACGCCCUAAACGAUGUCGACUUGGAGGUUGUGCCCUUGAGGCGUGGCUUCCGGAGCUCACGCGCUAAGUCGACCGACUGUC
rnacentral:rRNA from 1 species